GUGUCAGCAGCCGCGGUAAUACGUAGGGGGCAAGCGUUGUCCGGAUUUAUUGGGCGUAAAGAGCGUGUAGGCGGCCUGGUAGGUCAGUUGUGAAAACUCGAGGCUCAACCUCGAGACGCCGAUUGAAACCAUCAGGCUAGAGUCCGGAAGAGGAGAGUGGAAUUCCCGGUGUAGCGGUGAAAUGCGCAGAUAUCGGGAAGAACACCCGUGGCUAAGGCGGCUCUCUAGUACGGUACUGACGCUGAGACGCGAAAGCGUGGGGAGCGAACAGGAUUAGAUACCCCGGUAGUCC
rnacentral:rRNA from 1 species